rnacentral:rRNA from 1 species
AUUACUCCUACGGGAGGCAGCAGUAAGGAAUAUUGGUCAAUGGACGCAAGUCUGAACCAGCCAUGCCGCGUGGAGGAUGAAGGUCCUCUGGAUUGUAAACUUCUUUUAUCUGGGACGAAAAAGGGCCUUUCUAGGUCAACUGACGGUACCAGAUGAAUAAGCACCGGCUAACUCCGUGCCAGCAGCCGCGGUAAUAAU